CCUACGGGUGGCUGCAGUGGGGAAUAUUGCACAAUGGGCGCAAGCCUGAUGCAGCCAUGCCGCGUGUAUGAAGAAGCCCUUCGGGUUGUAAAGUACUUUCAGCGGGGAGGAAGGGAGUAAAGUUAAUACCUUUGCUCAUUGACGUUACCCGCAGAAGAAGCACCGACUAACUCCGUGCCAGCAGCCGCGGUAAUACCGAGGGUGCAAGAGUUAGUCGGAAUUACGGGGCGAAAGGCGCACGCAGGCGGUUUGUUAAGUCAGAUGUGAACUCUCCGGGCUCAACCUGGGAACUGCAUCUGAUACUGGCAAGCUUGAGUCUCGUAGAGGGGGUAGAAUUCCAGGUGUAGCGGUGAAAUGCGUAGAGAUCUGGAGGAAUACCGGUGGCGAAGGCGGCCCCCUGGACGAAGACUGACGCUCAGGUGCGAAAGCGUGGGGAGCAAACAGGAUUAGAUACCCUUGUAGUC
rnacentral:rRNA from 1 species